GACGAACGCUGGCGGCGUGCUUAACACAUGCAAGUCGAACGGAAAGGCCCUGCUUUUGUGGGGUGCUCGAGUGGCGAACGGGUGAGUAAAACGUGAGUAACCUGCCCUUGACUUUGGGAUAACUUCAGGAAACUGGGGCUAUAACCGGAUAGGAGCUCCUGCUGCAUGGUGGGGGUUGGAAAGUUUCGGCGGUGGGGGCUGGACUCGCGGCUUAUCAGCUUGUUUGUGGGGUAGUGGCUGACCAAGGCUUCGACGGGUAGCCGGCCUGAGAGGGGGACCGGCCACCAUGCGACUGCGAUACGGCCCAGACUCCUACGGUAGGCAGCAGUGGGGAAUAUUGCACAACGGGCGGAAGCGUGUUGCAGCAGCGCCGCGUGCGUAAUGACGGCCUUCGGGUUGUAAACCGCUUUCGCCUGUGACGAAGCGUGAGUGACGGUAAUGGGUAAAGAAGCACCGGCUAACUACGUG
rnacentral:rRNA from 1 species